GAAGUUCCACUGGAAACCAACAUGUGGAGUAAAGUCUCUUUUAGAAGAAGAUGCAGUCCGUGUAGGAGGAACCAACCACAGUCACGCGACACAGGACUUGUAUGACUCCAUUGCUGCUGGAAACUACCCUGAGUGGAAGCUCUUUAUCCAGGUCAUUGAUCCAGCUGACGAAGACAAGUUCGACUUUGACCCACUCGAUGUCACCAAGACCUGGCCUGAGAAUCUUUUGCCUCUCCAACCCGUUGGUCGUAUGGUGUUGAACAAGAACAUUGACAACUUCUUUGCGGAGAAUGAGCAGCUUGCCUUUUGCCCUGCUAUCAUUGUUC
rnacentral:lncRNA from 1 species